UUAUCUUUAAAAAUUAGCAACCCCAAAGUGGUGAGGUGUUUCUUUAAGUGUUUCAGAAAAGGAGUAAACUGAGAAGUGAGCAAAGUUUGGCGGGUUCCUCCCUGUCGUGCUCCCUUCCCACCCCCACCUCCCACCCCCGCCAUCCUUUUCACUUUUCAGGGCUGUUUUCUGUUUAAUUCAUCUCCACUAUAAUGGUGACUAACAUAAUUUCUGAAGGCACAGGGACUGGAAAAGAAAUGCUGAAAACUAAAACAUCACUAACACCCAAAAAAAAAAAUUGUUUUGAUGGAGGGGAUGAAUGGGUGGAAUUAUUUGCCUUUUUUGUCCAGAAAUCUUUGAAUUAUUUCAUUAUCCACAAAAUUAUGGAAGUCUUAGACUUUUGAAGCUGAGAGGAGCCAUCUUGUUCAAUCUUUCCCAGUUUAUAAGUGGGAAGUUUAAAGACAGAGAUUGAGUCUUUAAUCUCACUGAAUCUAGGCUCCUUCACUCCCAUGUCUUCCCAGACCUUUAGCCUGAUUAGUGUAGAACAAGGCUGCAUAAUACUGGGCUGAGGGCUAAAUGUGGUGCACAGUUAUGUAUUGCUCCACUGGAACAGUGCUUUAACUUUUUUUUUUUUUUUUUUGCGGUACACGGGGCUCUCACUGUCGUGGCCUCCCCCGUUGCGGAGCACAGGCUCCGGACGCACAGGCUCAGCGGCCAUGGCUCACGGGCCCAGCCACUCCGCGGCACGUGGGAUCUUCCCGGACUGGGGCACGAACCCGUGUCCCCCCUGCAUCGGCAGGCAGACUCUCAACCACUACGCCACCAGGGAAGCCCCGCUUUAACUUUUUUUUUUUAAUUUGAAUGUUUUAAGAUGGAUUAUUCAUUGUCCAGUUUGACAAAGGCCCUGCCAUUCUCUGUAGUCUUACAUUUGGCCCAGUUCACACAUUCAAGUUACUUACCUAGCCUCUGUAGGUAUGUGGGUUUAUGACAUGAAGCAUAAAGACUAAAAUACAUGGGCUACAAGUCAUGAUGUUGUGUUUUUGUUCUUCCCCUCACUUCCUAGUUUCUUACCUCUACAGGUUUGUUAGGAGGCUCCAACGAGCUGAUGGAUACAGAAGCCCUUUUUAUAAACUUUAAAGUAUGAUGUGCUUGUGUGAACCAUUAUAAAUAGCUAACACUUCAUUACUUCAGUGCAGAUAAAAUACCAUUUGCUUUAUCUCCCCUUUCUUGAGUCUCAUUGGCAUCAGAUUUCCAGUUAAACUUCCCUUGUUUGGCACAGUGGUAAAUCUUUCAGAGGGUUGAGGCAUUGCAUUGGUUUCAAGACUACUUAUAUUAGUGCUAGCAGAAAAAUUAUGCAAAUUGGAGGAGCAACAGACUCCUACAAACGUCUGCAAAGUUUCUCAUAUCCCUAUGCAAGGGACUGGAUAUACACUUUAUUGUACUUUGUGACCCAAAGCAAGUUUCUAGGACCUUAUAAUAUGCAUAUUUUAUAUUCAUCUUAUUUCUGGCUACAGCCUUCAUCUUGUUUCUCCUCUAUUUUCUUGACUGCUUCUAAUAUAUAUAAACCUGGCAUCUUGUGGAUCUUUAUAAGUUGUUUUAAAUUCUUUGUGGAACAAAAUAGAAUAUAAUCAAUGAACAUUUAUUAAAUUGGUCCAUAUGACAUUACUGUGUCUGUAGGUAAAAAAUGGUCAAACCAUCAUCAGUUUCACACGGUCCAACCUGAUAUUUACAGUGCUUAUCUCAAUAUAUUUUGGUGCUGUAAUUGCUCCGUAAUCCAAGCUCUGGAGGAUGCACCAGUCAUGGUGGAAGGAUUACAGGAUAGAGAAGCAGGAGAUCUGGAUUCUAACGUCAGCUCUGCUACUAGGUAGCUGAGUAAUUAAGGGCAAGCGUCGUCUUUCCAAAUGAAUAGGACUCCGAUUCUGCCUUACAAGAUUGUUAUAAGGAUCAAAGGGUAGGCUAUAUGUGAACACUAUCUACAAAGUCCUCUAAGAGCCACGGGGUUAUUAUGUUGAAUUAAGCUCAUCCAGAAUCCUACCUCUAAGCCCUCCCAGCACCCUGGAGAGUGCCACUAAUGCCAUUACCAGUCCUCUUUCUCUUCCAGUCACCUGCUGCCUCCUUUCUUGCCUCCACCACCCAACCACAAUUCAAAGUUUGCUGAGUCUUUCCACAUUCAUGAUCUCUUUGACCACCCUCCCCUCACACUUCUGCAAGGGAAGCUUUAUUAUCCUAAUUUUACACAUACAGAGUCUGAAGUUCAGACGUGUUAAGUAAUUUUGCCCAAGAGCACACGUUUGUAAGUGGUAUAGCUUGGAUUCAAACUCUGUUCCUCUGAGCCCAAGUUCAGAGCUCUUUCACUGUGAGAAUUCUGCUCGGACACAUCUCCUGACUACUGCAGCCGGGAGUGGAGUUUAAGAACACAGCUCUACCAUUCGGUGGUUGUAUAAACUGGGCCAAGUUACUCAGCCUCUCUUGCCUCAGUUUUCUCAUCUGUAAAAUGGGGAUAAUCACAGACACAUUUGUGGUGUGCUAUAACAAUAAAAUAACUCAGGUAGAGCUCCUAGCACAGGGCCUUGGCACAUGGAAAACGCUCAAUAAAUGUUAAAAUUUGAAGAAGUUUGGGUACACCUUUCCAAAUCCAGGAGGCCACCCCGUUCAGCUGUAGUAUUUGCAGAAGCUUGGGGGCUAUCGUUAUACUCCGCCUCUUCCUUCUACAGUCACGGGAAGCAGUUAGAAGCGGAUCAGAAACUGAGUUCCACGUUUGCUCUUGCGAUUCGAAAAUCCUUUCUCCCAGCUCUAGGGGCGGGGUUAGGUAGUCGCCCUCAGAGGCGAGCCGCGGUGGCCUGGGGCGAAGGAGACAGGACGCCCUGUGCUCACCGGGCGCCGCGCGCAGCCCUUUUGGGCUCUGUCCGAGGUGCUGAACGCCGCGGGUCCCGGGCGCGCGGGCAGUGCGUGAGGGCGUCCACUGUUGUCAGUGUCUGUGAGCAUCUUCGUGGAGAAGGCAGAGCACGGGGGUCAGGUGAAACCAGGACGAGCACAGGCUCCAGACGCGCAGGCUCAGCAGCCAUGGCUCACGGGCCCAGCCGCUCCGCGGCAUAUGGGAUCUUCCCGGACCAGGGCACAAACUGUCAACCACUGCGCCACCAGUUUUUUGGCCACGAGGCAUGUGGGAUCUUAGCUCCUCGACCAGGGAUAGAACAUGCACCCCCUUCACUGGAAGGUGAAGUCUUAACCACUGUACCGCCAGGGCCUGGUGCUGGGUGCUGGGGUACAAGGUGAAAAGACACACAGUCCCGGCCCUCAAGGAGUAAAGACAAGGCAGGGAUCCAGGUAUGUAACUGCAAAAAGCCCAGUGGCAGAGAGAGCUCCCUGUCUGCAUUAGCUCCCACCUCUGCCAGGGAGAGAGGCAGGCCCUUGACCUGGUCCUGCAGGGGGUCUGGAAAGUCUGGAAACGUGGGCAAAUGUGCAGAAUGUCAAGGACAUCACCAGUCUGUCAAGAAAGAAAUGAUACUGCCUAUGUUUCCAGACUUCGUGGAAACCUGUAGAAGGCUCACGGGCAUCAGCCCAUAAAGCAGAGAUGAAGGGCAGAAGGGGGUGGGGAUUGGUGUUGCCAUUAAGACCUGGGCCAGGACUUCCCUGGUGGUCCAGUGGUUAAGACUUCGCCUUCCGGUGCAGGGGGUACAGGCUCCAUCCCUGGUCGGUGAACUAAGAUCCCACGUGCCUCGGGACCAAAAAACCAAAACAUAAAACAGAAGGAAUAUUGUAACAAAUUCAAUAAAGACUUUGAAAAUGGUCCACAUCAAAACAUCUUUAAAAAAAAUAAAAAGAAAGCAAGAAAGAAACUAACAUGGGCCAUGCAGAGUGCAUUCAUGCAUUAACGACUUAAUUUGAUUCCCACAACAGACCCACAAAGGGAGAUGUUUUGUGGGUUUUGGGUUUUGUUUUAUUAAAAUCCCUACUUUGCAGAUGAGGAAGCACAGAGUGGUGUCUGGGCUCCAGCUCUGCCAAUAGAAGGCGGGAAUUUAAUGUAGAUUAUCUCGGCUCUGGCACGCAGGGGAUUAAGUGAGAUGAGAGGGCAGCCAGCAUCUUGACUGCUGUCAGAAAGGCCACAUCUUUCCCAGCGGUUCUCACGCUGCCAUGGCGACAGGCAGUUAAAAAUAGUUCAGGCACAAGUUGAGGCAUCAGUGCGCACUGACACUGGGAAAGCUCCCGUCGGCGGUCUGGAAGGAUGAGUGCAUUCCCUCCCAGCACGGGGUGCUCCUUGCAAAGUGUGGGGUGCACCACAUCCUCUGGGCGCUUCCGAGAUUUUUCCUAUGGAGAUAGAGGUGGGCCAGGAACAUCCUGUGGGAACGUUGUCAGAGAGUGGAGGGAGGGAGCAGAACUAUUGGAACAGCCUCCUCUCCGGCCUCCCUGCCACCCUCCCCCCCACACGCACCCCUCACACUGUGCAACUACUGCCCCAGUCGCGUGCCCUCCACUAGACUCUUAUGGGGGCCCCUGGAGCACCUUUGCUCCCCUUUACCUCACCUGCAGCUACCACGGUGCCUGACUUUCAGUGGGUGCUCCAUACAUACUUAUUGCAUAAAUACAUAAGACCUUGAAAAUUACCAUUUUUAACUCCUUGUUUUGAGCCAUAUUUUAAUAUUUCUGACUCAUGCGCUAGCAAGCGCUGACUUGUAUAGGUUGGCUAGAAUCAUACUCAGCACGUCUGGGCCGGGUCUUGACGGCUCACGCAGCUCUACACCCGCAUUUCACAGAAAUUCAGAGAGAGACGUGUGCUUAGUUGGACAGCAUCCACCUCCUGAGUCCACCCCAAGCCCACCCGCCCCGUGCAAUGCUUUCUCUUUCCUCAUUUUUCUUAUUGAGAAAGAGAAACUGACUUUAUCUGAGCAUUCUCAUAGCCAGAAUUGUUUUAAAACAAUUCUGGCAAAUGAAGAUUGUUGUUUUUCAAGAGAUGCUUACAUCCAGGAGGCCUUCAGGUACCCGGAGGAAGAAGGCAAGGGCUGUGUGUGGGCAGCAGCAGACCAUUCCAGAAUCCUGGGAGAGGAGAGGAAGGAGUGAAGGACCAGCCAGCCCUGUCUGUGCCGCAGGACAGGUUAUUUGCAUAAUGAGCCCCGCGCAUACCGUAGCUCCCGAUUCCUCACAGCUCCGAGGAGUGAAUGGGUAUUAUUAGUGUCAUCUUAUCUAGAACUGGGUCACACCAGAAAAGACUGACUUUCCAGAUGGCUCCCAGGGAUCCGACUGUGCUCAGGCACGUUGAAGACACCAGCAAAAGCUGCUGCCCUGUUCAAGCCUGUCAACCAUCACAGCCCUUCCUCUAGGAAAUAGAGAAUCAACCAUCCUCUCCCCUGCGGGGCUGGGGCCUCUUGCCUUCUCACUUACAUCCUCCGUUGCUUCUGAACCAAAUGGGGUCUGCUUGCCCGGCGCGGUGGGCAGCAAAGGCAAUCUGUUGACACCAGGUUGUGGUGAAGGAAAAGACAGUGUUUAUUGCAGGGUGCCAAGCAAGGGAGUGGAAGACAAGCCUCAGACCACUCCCACUCGGUCUUUGAGUUUGGGGUUUUCUUCUUUAAGAACAAAGAAGCCGGGGUUACUCAUAUCUUGGGACAUUGCUUAAUCAUAGUUUUGGGAGUCAAGGUAUCUCUGGUUUGUGAUUCUCUGACCAAGUUCACAGCUGGGGGUCCGUUAGCUCAUCUUGCCCUGGAGAAACAACCUGAGUUUGUACGUUAAUGAUGUGAUCUAUAACAGUAAUUUUAGUACAUUUACAAUGUUACUGACAGCAGCAGUGGUAGUCAUCUGACUUUUCAGUUAGCACAGGAUUGAGGUCAGAGGGGACAAGAAAAGGAAUAACGUUUUGGAUAGAGAGAUUAAUCAUAAACUCGGUAAGGGAACUCAGUUUUAGGGGGACUCAGUUUCACCAUCAGUAACUCACCCAUUUCAAUCACCUUGGACUUAGAAGGUGAAUGAAAGCCAAAUCUUUAUCUCCAGCCUACCUUUCUCUCCAAAGUUUCAGACAUUUAUAUCCCUCUGCCCAAGAGAUGUCUCCACUUGGUGGUGCCAGGGCCCAAACGACACAUCCAAAGCCAAACGCAGCGUCUACCCCUGAAGCUAUUUUCCUCCUUAAGUCCCUGUCUUGGUGGUUGUCAUUGUAGCCAGAGCACAAGUGAGUCACCUCCCCCUGCCACACAUUCACCCUCAGAUCACUGUCCUGUCCGUUUCUCUCCACCUCUGUGAAACUCACCUGCAUAAUGACGGCAGCACCCAGAGUGGCUUCUGUCUCUCAUCAUGGCCUCUACAGCACCCACCCAAAUCAGUUCUCCAGAACUCCACCUGGGUAAACUUUCUGAUCCAACUGUGACACUCCUCUGUGUGACAGCAUUCUGGGCUCCCCAAGGCUGUGAGAUUGAGACCUUGGCCCGGCCCCGGGAGCUCUGUGACCUCUGCCCGGCUCCAGUCUCACCUCCACAACCCUGCCUGCACAAAGUCAUAUCCCCUGUGCCCCGGACAUUCUCCCUCCUCGCAGGCCCCCAAAUCCACCAUGCUGUCUCUCACAGCACGUCCUCCGCUGCUGCCACAGCCCUUUGAAGCCUGGGGAGAGGAGAGCUCGGUAUGUUUAAAAUAUAAAGAAAUCCCCAUCCAGGGUUUCCAAAAAGGCAGCGUAUUUUCAAUGUUUACAACUAAUUCGCUAAUGCCUUUGUCACAAAGACCUUAUAAUGCAAUGUAAUUGUGCCAGUCAGAGGAUAAUGAGAAUCUUAAAAAAAGAUAAAUGAUACAAAUGAACUUAUUUACAAAACAGAAACAGACUCACAGACUUAGAGAACAAACUUAUGGUUACCAGAGGGGAAGGGUUGUGGGGAGGGAUAGUUAGGGAGUAUGGGAUUGACAUGUACACACCUCUAUAUUUAAAACAGAUAACCAACAAGGACCUCCUGUAUAGCACAGGGCACUCUGCUCAAUAUUCUGUAACAACUAAUUGGGAAAAGAAUUUGAAAAAAGAAUAGAUACAUGUAUAUGUAUAAUUGAAUCACUUCCUGGUACACCUAAAGCUAACACAACAUUGUUAAUCAACUGUACUCCAAUAUAAAAUAAAGAGUUAGGGCUUCCCUGGUGGCGCAGUGGUUGAGAGUCCGCCUGCCGAUGCAGGGGACACGGGUUCGUGCCCCGGUCCGGGAGGAUCCCACAUGCCACGGAGCAGCUGGGCCCGUGAGCCAUGGCCGCUGAGCCUGUGCGUCCGGAGCCUGUGCUCCGCAGCGGGAGAGGCCACAACAGUGAGAGGACCACAUACCGGAAAAAAAAUAAAAUAAAAUAAAAUAAGAGUUAAAAAUGAAACAAAAAGAAGUUAAUGAAAGGGUUUAUGGAAUAUAAUCAUUCAGGCUGCCCUUCCAGCCCAUCUCUCUGGGUCUGCCAGGGCUAAGGGGUUUCCCAGGAAGCAGGACUGUCAGUGGUAAAAUCAGGAAAGGCCUGGGCAAAGCAGGACACGCUGGUCACCGUAAGUAUAAAACAGCGGUUGACAGGCGUAUGAUGGCCUUCUUCCUUCAGAACCGUCAGUGUAUCUCUGUGGCUGUCUGCCUGAUGUUAGCUUAAAGGCCACGUUGGAGGCCGUGGAGAGUGGGAAGCCGAACCUCUCCGGCCCGGUGCUCCCUGCUGCUUGCCCUUCCUGCCGCUACCAACCAAGGAGUUCCUGCUCGUCCUUCUGGGCUCAGCUCGCCCCAGUGUUGGCCUGAUGACUGUUCCCUCCCACGUUCCCUCAGCAUCCCCAACACGCCUCCUAGCAGGCGGCACGCUGUGUUGUGGUUUUCUGUGAGCGUGUCAGUUUCCACCUUUAGGCGGUGAGCAAGUUCAGGGCUGGGCUGACCCACAGAAGACACUCGGUGGGCGAUGAACAAACAGGACUGUGCAUGGCCCACCGAGAAAUCCCAUCUGACAUGUCUGCUGGGCCCAGACAACUCACAGGUUUCCUGGGCACCUCCUGUGUGCCAGGCUCGAGCACAGCCUCAGCCUCAAGGAGCUUAGAACCACGUGUUCUAAAGGCACCCAGGAGAGCAGACAAAGGAAGCUAGCAGUACUUGUUUCAUGCCUGCAUGAUGAUAAAACACCACCUAAUUCCUAUAGCAAGGUUGAAGUGCCCAGGGAGGGCUGCCUGGAAUGUGUGUAGGUGGCAAAGAAGACACCUGUACCAGACAUGAGUAGCAAGAAGGCAGAUGCCUUGUUGUCUAAAAAAAAAAUUAAAAUGUAAAAGAAACAGAAAUGCCAAGUUACAGGAGAGGUUGCUCCCAGCAGCAAGACAUGGAAGCAAGUUCUGAUGGCCCCUUCUCCAGAAGGAGGGCUGAGCAACAUGACCUCCACAGCUCCUUCCAGAUUCUAUUAUUUAACCUUGGCAUUGCCAGCAGGGAGCAAGCCACAGAUGCAGGAAUUGAGCAGGGGUAUUCUGGGUACAGUGCUAGUACCGACCAAGUGGGUCAGAGCACAUGGGAGAGGAGUCUGGACGCGUGGACGGAGCUUGAAUUGGGACCUCCAGACUCCCCUGGACGUGUUUGGUGAAACAGUGAGGCGUUUGGGAGCCAGGGAGCAGCAACUAUCUCAGGGGCAGAACUACUGCAGGACGUGAAUGUUUGCCUGUGUGCCACCUCUGCUUCCUUCUCUCCUCCUCACACAUUUCUCACGAUGGAAUUUCAGGGCUUAUCACUAACCACAAAGAUGGAAAUCAAUCCAGCCCUUUCCCCCCUGGGUCCCCAGCAGUGUGACAAAGGAGGCUUCAGAGAGCCAGAUCGAUAGCUGCGAAAGCUCCCCUGGAAAAGCAUCUUGACUCGGCAGCCACAGUCUGUUUUCCCAAUACUUUCCUCUGAAUUGGGCUUACCCACUUCAAACUACAGGCAUAUCCCAACCAGGGCAGAGCCCGCCAUGGUCAGCAGCAUGGAGGGGUGGACCAGGGGGGAAACAGGUGCUCGUGUGCAGGGGGGUCAAAGGGGAGGACGCUUGGGAGGGGCUGGCGGGCGCAAUCUCAGGCUCUUUCUCCAAUCUCAUCAGGUGUAUCAGACUCUCCCCUUUGCCCCAGGGAGGAAGAGUAAGAGACAGGCUGGGAAAGCCUUCAGGGAGCAAGGAGAUCACAGCUCCCUGUCUCUGGAGGUAGCAGGUGCUGGGUCCCAUGUGAGGUCCCCACAGACGUCUUUAUGGCUACUGGUGCUCCAGACUCCAGUCUGGUUCUGCCUGUUGGUCUUACCCUCCUACGUAUGUGCAGGGUACAGGAGGGAGGCUUUGUUCCAUCUGCACAGGCUCUACAGGAACCCAACAGUUGAGUAGGUACCAGUUAUGGAUCCAAACAGAGCAUUACGUUUAACUCCCACCUUCCCAAUGGCAGUCGUAAUCAAAGGCUGUGACCCAUUUCUCUCCAGAAAGCAUAGAGGAUGUCAGAGUCCAACUUGUGACAGGGGCCUUGCUGAGAAGGGCAUGGGAUCAUAGUAAACAGAGCUGGGUUUGAAUCUUAGACAACUACCCACUUCGAGAUGCUGUGUAACAUGUCACUCUCCAAGGUACUGUUCCAUCAUCAGUACGACGAUGAUAGUAUCACAAGAUGCUGUGGGAAUUAUUGAUAAUGUGCGAGCCUGUCACGUAGAGGUGAUUACUAAACAGCAGGCUCUUCCUCCCCUGUGUAACAGCCUGUCACUCCAGGCAAACAUCACCACCCCUAGCCCUGGGCAGGACUUGACCCAAGUUCUCUGGCCAGAUCUCUGCAGCUCCAGCAUGGGUUCCAGCAUCCAGGCUGUGCUUCCAGAUCAUGGGCUGCAAAGUUCCUGUGGCCUCGUAAGUCUGCAGGAUGGAGGCUGCUGCACUCCUUCUGUCUCCUUCCAAAUUGGCUCUGGAAUGGGGAUGGGGUAAGAUGUACAGAUGGGAUCCUCAGAACCUCAGAUCCACAUGAGGGCCUCAGGGGAGACAGAAGCAGAUGCAAGCAAGCAGGACACUGUAUAGCAUCACCCUUUAAGCCUGUAACAAGGUAACGAAGCCUAUGCCGUAGUGAUGAUCAGUUCAUGCACAGCCGGGGAUUCCAGCUCCAGCUCUGCCGCCAACCACUGAGCAGGUCCCUGCACCUCCUAGAGCCUUAGCAUCCUCAUCCGCAAAAUGGGAUGACAUGACCUUCCUUGAAGGCGGGUUUCUGUCACCCUGGGUGUGAGCACUUCUUUGUAAGUUGCCAAGAUGUAUGCAAUUGGAAGGAGUGGCGAUUAUGGAAGUGUCAUCGGAGGCACAUUUGUUGCUGUGGGAAAUGCAGGCGCUGGACCAUUUUCUCAUCUUUCCACAGGUUGCUAGAAUCACAACUUAUAAUUAACGCACAGUGAUAUGGCUUGACCCAGUUUCCGAAAUUAGAAUGUUUCAACUACAAGUGAUGAAAGAUGUGAAAUUCUUGUCUACCUAGCAGAACUAGCCGGAUAAACCUCCUUUCCCUGGACUUCAAGUUUUCUUCAGAGCUAAUGAAUAAAUGCACACGUUAAGCAAAUGUAUAAAUUCGCUUAUUCAAUAAAUAUCGAUUGAUCGCCUACUCUGCACCAUUUAUUAUGCUUAACGCUUUACCUGACUUGUCCAUUUAAUCCCCACAUGAAUUCUGUGAGGUGGGCACCCUGAUGUGAAAAUUAGGAAACUAAAGCUCAGAGGGGUUAGGUUACUGGAUCAAGGCCAUGGCCCUAGAAAGCGACAAAGCACAAUUAAACCCAAGUUUUCUUGACCUCUCAUGCACCUGCUCUUUCAUGAUACCACGUGGCUUCUCCAGGCCCCUAGGAAGGGGAGUUAAGGUUAUGUCUGGUAGAAGGAAGGAGUAGGGAUGGACCACAAAUUACGGCUGUUGUGUGCCCCAGUGUCACCACAUGAAACAUCCCAACCUUUCCUGGGACCCAGCCAUCCAUCCUGCUUCCCAGCUCCAGGCAGGCGGCCCCUGGAACGCACUUACUGCCCCUGCUCUCCUGGCCGGACUCAUCAGCUCUGUGCCACUGUGCAGCUGCCUUGUCCUCAACCUCGGUUAUGACUUGUUUCACUUUCUACCACCCCAGGUCCAUCUAGGAACGGGCUGGCUCUGAACUAGGCACCCCAUCUCCCUUGGACCCCUUGGGCUGGUGGGCAGCGACUGGGCAGUACAGGGCAUGGAGUCAGACAGAGUGAGGCGCUUCUGAUUGCUCUCCAUUUGAGAAAGUAACUGGUUUCUCUGUGCCUCAGUUUCCUUAUCUGAAAGUUGAGGGUAAUCCCUGUCUCACAGGGUUGCUGAGAGUCCUGAUGGGAUAAGGUAAUACAUGUGUGGCAUACAGUAGGCACUCAGCAGGUGCUAUUUCCUUCACCUCCCCGCCCCAUACUUGCAAAGUACAGCAGAUGGUACAUCCUGAUCAUGCUACGUUUUCCUCUGUGAUUUCUUAGUUUUAAAUAUUUGACUCUCAUGUUGGUGAGUAGGGCAAGGAGGUACAAAUCUAAUUCCUUUUUCAAACUCAAUCUUCAGUCUUCCAACAUGAUUUAUUAAGUGAGCUUUCCCUUCCAUAUUGCUUACUCAUCAUAUAUGACAGUCUCUCAUAUAAUUUGGUCUAAUUCUUGGCCCUCUUCUGCAUAACUUAGAUAUAGUUUUGUCUUUGUAGCUGCACUCCAGCUGUUUUUAUUACUAUUUGCUCUAAAAUAGGUUCUUAUAACCAGACAGAUAAAUCUUCCCCACCCCUGCUCUCCCACCCCCACCUGAAUUAUUUAUUUUUCUUGGCCACUUAUUCUUCCAGCCAUACUCUUUUGUCAGGUUCCAUGAGAAAUUCUGGAGCUUUAAAUGAGGAUUUGCUGGGUACACAGAGGAUGUGAGGGCUAGCACUUUGGGGAAUUCCACAAGCCUUGAAAUCUCAAGUGGUCACACACAUACACACACACAUGCACAUAUGCACACACACAUAUAUACACACACAUAUAUGCACGUACACAGUACACAUACAUGCACACACACACAUACAUGGACAUACACACGUACACAUAUAUACACAGCCAACCCUGUUCCCUGCUUGCCCCUCCAAUCCUUCCCCACCGAUAGGAAGAAGACAGUAAAUGACAACCAUCUGGUACCCAAUUAUGACCCCUUGCCAGGCCUGCCUCGCGUUAAAAGGCAUAGGGAUGAGGCUGGAUAUUAGUCCAGUGAUGGGCAAGUUCAAGGGAAAUCCUAAGAACCUCGGAGUCUAGACCUGCUUUACUAGUUUCCCAUUACAUUGACCUCUAAGGCAUUUGACUAACCCAGUGGAUUUCCAGGUGCAAGGCUCCCUACCAGCAGCCCCUGGGAACUUGAUAGAAAUGUAAAUUCUUGGGCCUCACCCCAAGAAUUGAAUCUGGGUGUGGAGCCCAGCAAUCUGUUUUUUUAACAAGCCUCCCCAUGACUGAAUGCUUGAAAUUGAGAGCCACUGGAUUAAACAAGCAUAGAUUUACUCAAAGUCUACCUCUGCUUAUUUCUGAGAUCUCAGGCAUGCUGGUAGCCUGGUCAGCUGCGCAGAAGAAACUUUGAAGGAUGCCUGCAAAUGUAGAAGAGCUGCAACAAAGCCAGAUUCGUUGUAUCAAUAAUUGGACCACACGUGACCUAUACAUGAGGAGGGUCGAUAUCUUCACAAUAUUACUCGUGCUUGCCAGGAAAAUGCAAUUCUCCUUCUGCUCUCCUGCAGGAAUCACAAGUAUUAUGGUUUUCUCUACCCGGUCACAAACAUCCUGCAUUGAGUUUAUUCCAAAGUACUUACUAUAUUUUGUUACUGUGAAUGGGCUCUCCUUAGCUGUGGAUUUUCUAACUGACGAUGCCUGGUAUUCAUAUAGCAUCCUGUGCAUUCAUCGGUAAUCACUCAUUUUUCUGACCUCUUUACUUCUAGUCCUUUUUUACAGCUGGUUUGUUUGUCUUUCUCAAGGUGUCUUUUGAAUAAUAACACUGCCGACUUUGGGCCUAAUGUUUAUUAUUUGCAUUUCCGCUUCAGGGGCCCACCUGGAUGAGUGGACAGAUUUGACAAAAGAUGGUGGAAGGAAGGGCAUUUAGGGGGCCAGACUUGUCCUGGAACACACUUCCCACCUGGCCACCUACCUGAGCUUAACAUAGCCUUUGGGACUCACCUGGUAAAUUCACCUUUGGGUUUUUGGAGUUUUUUUACCUUUGUUUUAAUCCAAGUUUUAAAAUUUGUUUGCAUAGAGUUAUACAGACAAUUCUGUAAUCAUUCUCUUACUUUAGCUUUUAUAGAUCCAUUUUUGUAUAUAACUCUUGGAUCCAUAUGGAAUUUCUUUGCAUGUGAAGAAUAAGGUAAUGUUACAGGGGAGAACAAAAUCUGGCUACGUGUUAGAUCUGUUUCUUUUACUCCCAUUGCUUUUGUUCACUAAAAGGAUACUGUUUAUACAUAAUGGCCUGCCUUGGGGAGCCCUGCCCCUCUGCCUGAAUGUUAAACCAAAGUGCCUUUGUUCAGGGGAACAUCCGGACCCUGUCCACCUGUGGAUGGCUGCAAGAAAGAAGAAAUUAACACAUCCUCUCCCGGAGGCUGGCCAUUCCAGGAGAUAUUUGCAAGACUUAUGAUCUUUUUACUUUACUUCCUCACCUUCUCCCUGUCUCUGUUUUAUAAAAGAAACUGACAUCCAGGCCCUGAUAAGACGGUUAUUUAGAGACAUUAGUCUGCCGUCUUCUCGGUCUUCCGGCUUUCCGAAUAAAGUCGUAUUCCUUUGCCUCUACACCUUGUCUCCGAUUCACUGGCCUGUCACACGGUGAGCAGAGCGAGCUUGGACUUGGUAACAGUAAUAAAUCAUUUCUUUCCUUCAGAUAACUAACCAGUUUUCCCAAUGCAGUUUAUUGAAUGCCCCAUCCGUGCUGAUAAAUUUAAUGAUGCCAUUUUAAUCAAAUACUCAUUUCCCAUACGUGCUUGAAUUUAUUUUUUGACGCUCUUACAUUGAUUUCUUGGUCUAUUCCUACUCUGAAAUGUCUGUGGCCUUAAACAAUGGUUUAAUAUACCUGAUAGUAUCAUAGUCAUACUUGUUAUUCUUUUUCAGAUCUUUCUCUGCUUCCAAUCAUGUGUUUAUUUUACGAGAUGAAAUUUAGCUUUAAUAGCUCAAAUUCCAAACAAAAAUCUGUUGGUAAUUGGGCUGGGAACACACUUAAUUUAGAGAUUAAAUUCAGGAAUUAAAACUACCCUACUGAAUAGUCUUCCAAAGAAAAACAGGGGAGGUUUUUCACUUACUAAAAUAAUUUGUGCAGCUUUUAAUAGGAAUUUUAAGUUUUUAGCAUAGGGUUAGGACUACACUGUACUGUACUAUAUAUAUAAGGUUAGGACUGUACUAACAUUGAUUAAUACAUUUGUUCUUAAGUAUUUUUAUGUUUCUAUUGUAAAUGGCAUCUUUUCUUCCCUUAGAUUUUCUAACUGGUUAUUAUUUGUAAUAUAGUAAAGGUUUGAUUUUUGGCAUAAACUUUACAACCAGAUGCCUCUUCCUUUCUGAGUUUUGUAUCUCUUAUAUCUUUCUCGUAUAUGAUAGUGGGAGUUCUUGUUUCUGACUUUAACGGGAAUGUUUCUGGCUUUUCACGUUAAGCUGUGCUAGCUUUUUGGAUGGAAGAUUAUAAUAUUUUAUAAUGUUAAGGAAAUAUCCAUUAGUAUUUAUUUUGUUAAUUUAAAAAAAACUGAGGGACUUCCAUGGUGGUCCAGUGUCUAAGACUCCAUGCUCCCAAUGCAGGGGACCCAGGUUCAAACCCUGGUUGGGGAACUAGAUCCCACAUGCCACAACUAAGAGUUCACGUGUCGCAACGAAAGAUCCCACAUGCUGCGACUAAGACCUGGCACAGUCAAAUAAACAAAGUUUUUUAAAGUGGUCCUAAUAACUUCUGCAUAAAAAUCAAAAAAGGUUAAGAUUUUAAAUAAGUAAAUAAAUAAAUAAAAUACAAACUGAAAUGAAGGUUGCACGAUAGCAAAUGCAUUCUUUAGCAUAAAAUUUUCUGAUAUUAAACCAUCCUUACAUUCUUCAGAUUGAUCUCUCUUCAUGUAUCUUUCUUUUAGUGUCUUCUGCUUCUCUUUGCUGAUAUUAUAUUAAGGAUUUUUGCGUUGGUUGUCAUAACUGAGUUUGAUCUGUAGAUGUCUUUCUUUUCUCUUUCGGCUUUUUCUUUCAGGCUUUGGUAAAGUUUUGGUGAGAUUCUCCUGUCUCUGGGAACAGUUUAAGUAGCACUGUGGUUAUCUGUUUCUCAAAGGUUUGGAAGAAGUUACCUGUGAAAUCUAGGGACUUAGUACUUUUAAAGAGAGUAGCUUUAUUAUGAUUUUAUCAAUUGAGUUCUGUACCUUAGAACCUUUAUUAUUUUUUUAACGUCUUUAUUGGAGUAUAAUUGCUUUACAAUGGUGUGUUAGUUUCUGCUGUAUAACAAAGUGAAUCAGCUAUACAUAUACAUACAUCCCCACCUUCGAACCUUUAAACAGUCAUCAUAACUCCUUAUAUUUUCCGUACAGAUGGAAUUCACCUACGAAACCAGCCUCAUCCUUGUGGAGGUGGGAUGGUUGAAAGGGGUAGGUCUUAGGUCCCUUUCCCAAUUUCUUCCAUGGUCUGACUCCUCUUUAUUAAAUUUUGAUGACAUAAUUUUUUUUAGAAAAUUAUGCAUUUUAUCUAGAUUUUCUAAUGUUUAACCACAGAGGUUGUGCAAAUCACUCUAUAAUCAUUUUUUAAAAUUUAAUUUCUUUUUUUUCUUAAUUCAAAUUUUGUUUGCGUUUUCUCCACUUAAAAAAAAUAGGUAAGGCAGUGGUUAUUAUACUUUAUAAUUUUUUCAGCAAAUCUUCAAUUUAUGUUCUUGAAUCUCUGUAUCAUUUUUGUUCUGUCUUCUAAAUUGCUUGCUACUUUUCUCUUCAUUAGUGUCUUCCCUCUACUUUCCUUAGGUUAGUUUAAUUAUGUUUUCUAAAUUCUUAUAUUAAUUGCUUAAUUUUAUUUCAUUUCACUCUUUCUUACUUAGUAGCAUAGAUAUGUAAGCUAGUAAUUUUUUCCAAACACUGCUCUAGCCACAUUCUAUAGUGUUUAAUAUGUAGUGUUUAUUGUGUCAUCACAUUUUAUUUUUGUGGAUAUUCUAGAGCAGAACUACCAAUAGAAAUAUAAUGUGACAUCAUCUGUCAUUUUACAGUGUACAGUAUCCACAUUUAAAAAGUAGAAAGAAGAAACAGGUGAAAUUAUUUUAAUAAUAUUUAUUAUUUAACCCAGUAUACCCCAAAUAUUAUCAUCUAAACGUGUAAUCAAUAAAAAUAUCAAUACAUUAAUGAGAUAUUUUACAUUCUUUUUUCAUGUUAAGUCUUGGAAAUCCAGUGUGUUCACGCCCACAGCAAUUCAGACUAGCCACGUGUCAGGCGCCACGUUUCAAUAGCUGCAUGGGGCUAGUAGCUGCCAUAUGGAGCUGCACUGCUUCAGAAUUUCAGCUUUGGUCUCCUCUACAACAGAGGUGUUUAAGGAAGAGAUUAAGACGUAAGCAGAGGUAGGCUUUUUGUUUAUGUUUUGUCUUUAUAGUUUGAUUACGCUGGGAUCAAGGAAUAUGAUCUAUUCGAUUGUUGAUGGGAAAAUAUGAUAUUUUCCAUUUUUUGAAACUGGCUGAUGUAUGUCAUAUUAAUAUUAAUCAUAUUUUUAAAUAAAUGUUCCAUGGGUCCUUGCAAAAGAGAUGAAUUGUCUGUUUUUUGGGUGUAGUGUCCGUUUCAUUGUUUAUGUCUAUUAUGUGGGGGGGAGGUCUACCAUGAACCAAGUGAUAUACAUCUAUCUACCAUAAAACCACCAUAAACUAAUGUAACAUCUCCUAUUAUUAUUAUUAUUAUUAUUAUUUGGCUGUGUUGGGUCUUCGUUUCUGCACAUGGGCUUUCUCUAGUUGUGGCGAGAGGGCUUCUCAUUGCAGUGGCUUCUCUUGUUGCGGAGCACAGGCUCUAGGUGCAUGGGCUUCAGUAGUUGUGGCUCGUGGGCUCUAGAGCGCAGGCUUAGUAGUUGUGACAUACGGGCUUAGUUGCUCCGCAGCAUGUGGGAUCUUCCCAGACCAGGGAUUGAACCCAUGUCGCCUGCAUUGGCAGGCAGAUUCUUAUCCACUCUGCCACCAGGGAAGCCCUCUUAUUAUUUUGUAUCUAUUCAUUUCCCUCUUUUUUUUGGCAACUUCUAAAAAGUUUACAUUGAUGUUAUUUUACUUAGUAUUUAAGGAUUUCAUUGGAAACUGUAAAUUUUAUCUGUAUGAAAUUCCCCCAUUUGUGUUUCUCUUUUUAUCUUACAUUUUUAUUGAUGUUAAUAUACUUCUGCUUUUGUUUGCGUUUUCCUGAUACGCAUUUGUAUGCAUUUUCCUUUUGUUUGCAUUUUACUGAUCUGAAUUGCUCUUUUAGAUGAGUUUUUUUGUAGACAGCAUACAGCUGGGUUUUCACUGAGCUGAUACAUACCAUCCAAGUAACCAGUAAACACAGAGAAUAUGGUCAGAGAAAAACAAAAUAUUUCCUCCACUCCCAGUGAAUACAAUUUAUCCCUAGACGGAAGAUGAGAGCUCUUACAUCUAUAGCAGGAUCUCAACCUCGGCACUAUUGACUUCUGGGGCUGGAAUAUUCCUUGCGGUGGGGCUGUCCUGUGCACUGUAGGAUACUUCACAGCAUCCCUGGCUUCUACCCACUAAGUACCAGUAGCACUCCCCCAUCCCCACCCCUGGUUGUGACAACCAAGAAUGUCUCCAAACAUUGCCAAGCGUUUGUUGGAGGACAAAAAUCUCCCCUGUUUAGGAAGGGCCCUUCCACACCUAGAAGGGCCGUUCCACACCUCUCUGUCAGGCUUCUCACCCACCUAUCCGCGCCUGUUCCCUCCAAAUACAGGUUUCAGAGUGAGAUGUAUGGCAGACAUGCUGCUUCUCAGCUGUGGAGAAAGCCACUGCUCGGAGUUCUAGAAACUUCCAUCUCUGAUGACGCCUUUCACAUUUGUGGUCAGAGGUUUCAGUCCUUGCCUUACUUGAACAUGACCCCUUGAUCCUCUGCCGGUGUGCCUCCUCUGUCUGUUUCUUAUUAAGUGUACGGAGAAGGAGGUUACAUGUUCGUCUGUACUUCACCAUCAUGCACAGCCAUCUCCCCUCUAGUCCCCAAUCUGAGCUCUUUUCCCUGCAUGUCUGACAGAGAGAUGUCAGGUUUCAGUAAAACAAUAAUUAAAUCUAUAGUCAACUCUGAUCAGAUGGCAUUAAACAGAGGAACACGGAACAAGGAACAAUGUUCUCUGAAGGGAGAAAUAUUUUUACAUGAAUAUUUUGGUAUUUGUUAAUGUACUGGAAUUAAUAGAGAGGUGUAGGAGGUGCUGAAUAAAAAUCCAAUUUGUACUGAUUAUUCCCAAAUUAAGAUUAGCACAGAAACCUGUCUGGAGUGGGAGGCGAAGUCUGCUGUUCCAAAGAAGAGGUUUUAAAGGUGUAGGUGGGGUGAGUGAGAGAAACUGAACGUAAAUGUUCUUGCAAAAAGAAUGAGGAAAGAGCCUGCGGAUCUCCUGACAGCCAGGGGCAACCCUUUGAGAAGGCCCAGCCCUCAGCCCAGAGAAGACCAGGAGGGGCUAUUCCCUAAUCCUGACCCUUCCAGCAUCCCUUAAAUUCAUUGGGUAGCUUACGGCUUACAAAGAGCUUUUGUAUACUUAGCAUUUCAAAUAAAAUGGAUAAAUACACGUGAUAGCCUAAUAAAGGGAUUUAUUAUGGGAUUCCUAAAUAGAUGGAGAGAUUUGAAUAAGCUAUAUUAGUUGCAUAGAACUAUUACUUCAUCGCAUAGAUGUUUGUAGAGUGCCUGUUGGGUUUCACAUACCAGCUAUGGUGUGGAAAUGAUUCUUCCGCACCCUGCCAUCAAAAGGUUGACAGUCUACUGUGGAGACAGAAGUGAAGUACCAAUUACAAAGCAACGUCACCAGCCCCAUGAUAGAGACCUGAUGUCUGUCCAAAGGAAGGGCGCUUAAUACUGUUUGGGAGGGAGAGAAGGGAGAGAAGUCAGGGAAGGCUUCCGGGAGGAAUUAAGACAGAGCUGAGUGUGACUGGAGGAGUAGAAGUUAGCCUAGUGAAGGUGGCAAAGGCAUUCCUGGUAGAGCAGUCCACAUGAGCAAAGGCACUGAGAUCAGAAACAGCAUAGUGUGUCCUGGAGGCAAAAGCAGGUUCAUAUUAUGGGCGCAUCAAGUCCAGGGCAGGCAGUGGCCAUGAAGCACCUUGGGUCCUCUCUUCCAAGUCUUGGUAUUUCAUCAAGUUAGUGAUGGGGACCCGCUGACCAAACCGUCUUUGCUGAAUCACUUUCUGCCCUUGGCUUCUGCACUGGACACUCCUGAUUUUCCUCCUCAGUAGCUUCUCUGAGUGGUCUCCUUGUCGUGAUCCUCCCCCUUUUCCACCCUCUAAGUACGAGCAUGCCCCAAGGCUCAGUUUUUGGCCUGUUUCUCUUCUCCAUACCUACACACUCCCGUAGCUUUCAGUACCAUCUCUCUGCUGAUGAAUCCCAAAUUUACAUCACUAGCUUCAAUCCUUACCUCCCAGAUCCAGAUGCAUAUAUUCAAUCGCCUACACCCCAUCUCUACUUGGGUCUCAAUUAAUGUUCAGUUGCAUGUAGCAAAGACCCAAAAUGUCGGUGAAUUUAAAAGGAUAAAAGCUCAGCUAUAGGCCAUUUGUGGCCAGCAUGGUGGCUCCACAGACAUCUAGGACCCAAACGUUACUAGAUUUCUACUCCAACACACUUAGUGUGGCCUUCAACCUCGUGGCACAAGAUGGAGCCCCAUCCGUCGUAACAGAGUUCCAAGCAGCAUGAUGAAGGAAGGGGUGAUGAAGGAGCUGUUGCAGGUCAAAUUCCGCGGGCGGCACACUCGGAGACGGUUGCUUGCAUACAAGAAUUUCAUUGGGAUGUACACCUAAGGUCAACCGCUGGGGGUGAGUAACAGAAGUUGGACUGGGCAGAAGGAGAAGUUGGGCUAUAAGACCUCAGCCAAUCCUACAGGAAAUUCUGCAGAUGGUCCUCAAGAGUUUUCCCAAAUGGGGCAAGGGGACCAGAUCAUUUUAUCCCCACUUCACCCAGUCACCAGAUGCAGGCUGCACUAGGAAGGGGCAUCACUUGGGGAGGGGUGGCUCUCAUAG